rnacentral:tRNA from 1 species
GGGGGAGUAGCUCAGUGGUUAGAGCAGGCGGCUUAUAUCCGCCCGGUCCCUGGUUCGAAUCCAGGCUCCCCUACCA